rnacentral:rRNA from 1 species
UACAGAGGUCCCAAGCGUUGUUCGGAUUCACUGGGCGUAAAGGGUGCGUAGGUGGCGGGGUAAGUUUGAUGUGAAAUCUCCGGGCUUAACCCGGAAACUGCAUUGAAUACUAUUCUGCUGGAGGGUUGGAGGGGGGACUGGAAUUCUCGGUGUAGCAGUGAAAUGCGUAGAUAUCGAGAGGAACACCUGCGGCGAAAGGCGGGUUGCUGGGCUGAUGACUGACGCUGAGGCGCGAAAGCUAGGGGAGCAAACAGG